AAGCUUAGGUUAAAUUAAACCAGGGACCUUCAAAGCCCCAAACACGAGUCUACCAACCCUCCUAGCUUCU
rnacentral:tRNA from 1 species